rnacentral:lncRNA from 1 species
AGUAACUAAACUUUCGAGCAUGUUCAUGCAUCACGAUUGCCAUGUUUAUAGGUUGUUGCAUUAGAAUUCACGAAUAUGAUGCAUUGCAUAAUUUGCUGUUGAUGUGAAUGGAUAUUGGAUGACCCACUAGCCCUCGAGCAGGUUAUGAUAUGAUACGGAUAUGGAAGACUAGGGCUGCCCAUUCUACUCGUCCUGGCACUAUGUAAGGGAAAGACCAGGGUUGCCCAGUCUACGCCCCUGGCACAGU